CUACCUCACGCAACUACAGAGGAGAGAAGAGAGAUGCACAGAAGAGUGGAUAGAAAAGACAAGUCUAGCAGGUCAGAGAUAUGAAUCAGAUGAAAAAGGCUUCCUCCUACUUUAAGUGAUUGAUGCUCAUCAGCGAUAAGAAUCACAACAUUUCAUUUCGUAAGAAAUAAAUCAAUGUCCUUCUCGAGCAAAGGAUGAUUUCUACAAAGAUGCCCUUCUUCCAAUCCUUCCUGCUCUCUCUGAUCAGCUGACCAGGAAGCUGAACACGACCUGCUGAAGAAGAGAGGACCAACUGCGCCGGCUCAGUUUCUCAUAUAUAAUCAAGGCAAUACCGUAGAGCACCUGUAGAAUGGAGCAUGAGAGGCCCUGAUGAGAACACCAGAUGAACUGCGCCUGAGGGGAGCUCCUGGGAUGGAGAGGAGGAUGAUGAGGAAGAGGAAUGUUGGAAGAGGUGGAGGAUGAGAUGGACAGUGGGGGUAAUGAGAGGAUUCUAGAAGGGGGAGGGGGAGAGGAGGAUGAGGGUCAUUCCAUUCACGCAGGCAGGCAGGCAUGCACACACACACAAACAGAGCAUCAGCAUCAAGGGAGUUUGGGUAAUAAACGACCCUAGAGCAGGAACUAGGCCCAAACCUGUGACUGAUGCCUCCCAGAUGUGCCGAUUGAACACGCACACCAACGGGUUUGUUAAAACACACAAUCUGCAUCACACAUAAACUAACAAUAACUUACCUAGGUUCUCAAUGUUCUCACACUCCCAUUCUGACAACGACAUGGUUGAGACAUUUCCCCAUUAAUAUUCACUGUUUAUCUUAUUAAAUCAUUCAGUCAAGCAUCACUCAAAAAUAAUUAUGUUUAGAAUCGGCUUGAACCAUGAACAAGGUCUCUGGACAGUUAGUCAGUUUAUCUUAAAGAAUACUGGUUGAUAUGUGCUCAGUUUAUACAUUUUUUUACCAAUAGUUUUAUAAGCAGUAUUCACCAUUCUGUAAAUUAUGCUACUUUGAAAAAGAUCUCUGCAAUCC